rnacentral:rRNA from 1 species
UACGAAGGGGGCUAGCGUUGCUCGGAAUUACUGGGCGUAAAGCGCACGUAGGCGGCCUGCUAAGUCGGGUGUGAAAGCCCUGGGCUCAACCCAGGAAGUGCACUCGAAACUGGUAGGCUUGAAUAUGGAAGAGGGUCGCGGAAUUCCCGGUGUAGAGGUGAAAUUCGUAGAUAUCGGGAGGAACACCAGUGGCGAAGGCGGCGACCUGGGCCAAUAUUGACGCUGAGGUGCGAAAGCGUGGGGAGCAAACAGG